GCCUGAUGUGGGGCUUGAACCCAUAAACCGUGAGGUCAUGACCUGAGCUUAGUCACCUGAGCCACUCAGGCGCCCCAGGCAUAGCUGACUUUCAAUCCCUGUGGCCUUAGGCAAGGCAUUUCAUCUCCUGGCUUUACUUUCCUCAUAGUUACAGAGAGAUAUUAUCCAUCUCAAGGAUUUCUUCCUCCCCCACCCCCUUCUUUCUUUCCAGUCAGGGAGUGGAAUAAGUGCAGGGACCUGGUAGGGGACUUAGUACACACAAGUGAAACCAAAGGUAGUUUCCUUCCUUUCUUCCUUCCUCGUUUCUGCUCUUCUUUCAUUUUCUCUCUUUUUCUUUCAGUCUCCUUUGAUUGUAUACUUUUUCCCACCAGCCUUAAUAAUCACAGGAUCCAGAGGACUGAAUAAGUGUAGUAGCUGGUACGCACCAGAUUCUCUUCAGAAUAUGCGGUGCCCAGGAAUAGUUUGCCCUGACUGGGGAGCUUCUAAUUCCUUGUACUUUUUUUUUUUUUUGCAUGUUUAUUUUUUUCAUCAGACAAGGAGGACUUUGCAGUUGUUCUUGGGUUUCCCCCCGAUCGUGUCAUCGUUGGACCCUGAGGCAGCCAUUUCCUUCCCUUCUACAUGACUUCUGGGCUCUAUAUAAUUUCAUGCUUACUGUGGGUUUUUUCUCCUCCUUGUCUUUAGCUAGAGUUUUCUGUGAGCUCCUUGAGGAUAGGGAAUGGACAUCUGUGUAUUCCUGCAGCUUGGCCCACGGCCUGGAUGUGAUGUCCCAGAAGUCUGUGGGGGAGCAUGGAUCUGGAGAAGCCAUGUCUUCCCACCUUCACAUGGAAGCUUGAAGCUCCAUGGAGCCUACAAAACGGAUGUGAAGGAGAGUUCCAGCAGUCAUCCUAGGCCAUGAGGGGACCCUGAGGAUGGAAGCUACACGUUGGAGGCCACAAGAAAGUGUCUGAAUCAUUGACAGCUUAAAGGAACAGCCACACCACUUCUGAUCGUCCUUCGUCAGGCUCUCUUUAACAUUGGAGAAUAAUCCCCUGUGAGCUUAGGCCACUAUGAUGAAGUCAUCUGCUCCUGAUACUGAAUGCAGUUUCUAAAUGAGACCUAGUUCUCUCCCACCCCUUCCGCUUAACUUUAUAUUGUAGAUAUUUUCCCUGUGAGCACAUUGAAAAAUCUACUGUAUUCUUCCUCAUGAUUAAAUAUUCCUGCAUAAGGAUUUACUCAGUUCCUUAUUGA